UGUGGCAGGAAGAGAAAUGGCAGCAUUCAUUUCGUGGAGACUUUUCGCCUCGUGUCAAAUGCCACUCUGUCUGACAACAACAACCCACAGAACAACUGCAUCCCGAGUCAGUUCUUCAUCAUUAUCAUCUCUGUCUUUGUUGCCACUGUCAUCAUUCUAAUAAUGGGUGGGGUUUUCACACUGCUGUGCUUGAGGAAGAAAAACAGCAGCACACAGCUGGAUGAU